UGAAUAGAGUAGUUACAGUGGACCCCGAACGGCUCAUGUGCAACGCCCUAACGAGCGCGACCCGCACACACAGUGACCAGACUACUGCACCCCAUCUGUCUCGCGUCCAUCUGUCUCGCGAUGCCCGUGGAGCGCACGUCAGCCGCUGCCGGUAUUACUUCGUCCCACAAGUUUGUAGUCAUGGGGUGCCGACGUACCAUGACUUACUCGCAACAAAGCCUAGGCUUCAGCUGCCUGCAUUAGCCAGGGGAUGGCAGAGCGGGUAGACACCACAACUGCCGGAUGUCAUGUACUAGCGGUGUUGGGUGGUUCAAUGACUCUGCAAUGUGGACCGUGACAGAACGGGCAUUGUGCUAUGUACUUUAGCUUCGCAGAUACCGUGGCAAGGUGAGCUGAUAUCAGGUAAACAGCGCACCUGAAAGCAAGGCUGCCGGUAACCUGGCAAGGUGUCCUGUAAGCAGGUGUCUCAGUCCUUUCGCCCGAAGUGAACAUCAGCUCUGCACCCCCACAAGCACACCUGCGUUUGCCUGCUGGCCGAAAGCGGAGGAGCAGUUCCGGGUAGCUCCGCUCCCGAACCCAGGUGUCGUAGCAAUGCCAGGACUCUCAUCGCCAAAGGCAGCUGGGCUUCAGGCCUGCCCGUUUCUUGAGAGUCCUUGGCGCCACUGCCACUGGACUCAUGGCCACGAGGGCCGUCAGGGGUCCUUGCUCGCCCGAGAGGCCGCAGUGCUGUGCUCUGGCCGGAGCAGGUCGUGGACUUCCUUAGCCCACCUCCUAUCCCGCUCUUCUUGCCACAGAGCACGGUAAUGUUCGGGUCUAAUGAACUCGGUGUCAAUCUGCGCGCCGGAGAUAGGGCCCUCAGAAUGGUGCGUUGCGGUCUAUCGCGGUCGGAAGCCCUGCUUGCCAGCUAAAACAAUUUGACCUAGUACUUACAUACAUCCCCGCUGCAGCUGCAAUCAACACAAAUCCGAAAAUCGCUGAACGCCGCUCCCAUUUCCCAAGGCUAGCCCAGGCUUCUUUUAGGCCCAUACUGUAUAGUGGUAUCAAAUGGCAAAAUAAACGCAGUUCAUUCAGUUACAAUGGCACGCUUUGCUCGUACACCUGCAGGUUGCAUCAGCCGUACUUGCACUUGAAACGUCGAGCUAUAUAAAACCAGUCUGUGUUAUUCUAAGAAGUUCGUCAACCCGCCUUUCAUUUCAGCAUACUUAUCUGUUAUAGUUCCCGCUCAAGUCAUAGGGCUUCUCUUGAUAAGUGAACUUAAAAUAAUAGCACACAAUCCUAGUGCCACUUAAAACAAUC
rnacentral:lncRNA from 1 species